GACGAACGCUGGCGGCGUGCUUAACACAUGCAAGUCGAACGGUGAAGUGCCCUCCUUUUUGGUGGGUGUGGAUGAGUGGCGAACGGGUGAGUAACACGUGAGUAACCUGCCCCCUUCUUCUGGAUAACCGCAUGAAAGUGUGGCUAAUACGGGAUAUUCUGGGUCUGUCGCAUGAUGGGUCUGGGAAAGAUAUUGUUUCGGUGGGGGAUGGGCUCGCGGCCUAUCAGCUUGUUGGUGGGGUGAUGGCCUACCAAGGCGGUGACGGGUAGCCGGCCUGAGAGGGUGGACGGUCACACUGGGACUGAGACACGGCCCAGACUCCUACGGGAGGCAGCAGUGGGGAAUAUUGCACAAUGGGCGCAAGCCUGAUGCAGCGACGCCGCGUGAGGGAUGGAGGCCUUCGGGUUGUGAACCUCUUUCGCCAGUGAAGCAGGCCUGCCUCGUUUGUGGGUGGGUUGACGGUAGCUGGAUAAGAAGCGCCGGCUAACUACGUG
rnacentral:rRNA from 1 species